rnacentral:lncRNA from 1 species
CCAGCUACCGUUCGGCCUCUGUUCAGCCACCGUGAGCGGCUGAGCAGGCCGCCGGAGCCGCCGUCCGGCCUCGCCGGAGCUCCACCCGCUCUCCCUACCUCUUACCGGCCCCAACCCUCUCUUUUUCCCUCUGUUUUGCAGCCGAUCCAGCAAACCCGCGAGUGGGUUUCAGCCGGUUCGUGGGCCAUUUCGGGCCGUUUCCGGGCCCCGAAACCGAGCCAUGCUUUGGGAAGUUUCGUUCCUCGCGUCGCCGCCGUCGGAUUGAUCCGAUUAGCGCGCGAUUUGGUGAGUAAUCUCACUAAUCCUUGCUUAGUGGACUAAUUACGCUUAUUGAUUGUUUAGUUGUAAUUAAUUUGGUUGAUGUGUUAGAUUAGUAUAAAUUAGUAUUUAUUAGUCAAUCGUGAUACAAAUUAGAUAAAUUAAAUGUGUAUUUAGCAAGUAGACAUGGUCUACUAUUGAUUGGAAGUGCCUCGGGAUUUUUCCCGACCCUUAGUGGGCCCCAAUUAGGCUUUUCGGGCCUAAGUGGAUUUUUUUGUAUUUAAAUAUUAAUUUUCGGAAUUAAAUUAAAUAAUUAUUUAUUUUCCGAAAAUUCAGCUGAGAUGGUCCGGGACCGGAAUAUUGUGCUGGUGAUUGUGGUGAAGUCCGUUUACUUAAUCGGGCUUUAAUUUGAGCUAAAUGGCAUUUUAAUAUUAAUUAUUUAAUAUUCGAAAUUAAUUAAAUAAUUAUUUAUUUUCCAAAAAUUCAGUUGAGAUGGUCUGGAACCGGAAUAUUGUGCUGAUGACCGUGGUGAAGUCCGUUUAUUUAAUCGGGCUUUAGUUUGAGCUGAAGCGAAUUUUUUAUGUUAAUUAUUUAAUUUUCGAAAUUAAUUAAUUAAUUAUUUAUUGUCCGAAAAUUCAAUUGAGAUGGCUAGUGACCAGAAUAUUAUGCUGAUAAUUGUGGUGAAGUCCGUUUAUUUAAUCGGACUUUAAUUUGAAUUAAAUUGAAUUUUUAAUAUUUAUUAAUUAAUUAUUUAUUUUUCGGAAAUUAAGAUUGAGAUGAUUGAUGACUGAAAUCUCGUGCUGAUUGUCCUGGCGCAGCCCGUUUAUUUAAUUGAACUCUACGUUGCUUGGAAUUAAGUAAAUUGUGAUAUUUUAGGGAUUUACCCUAAAUUGAUUGAAAUUGAAUUAUCAAUUGGUAGUCGGCUGAGUAUGGUUAUUUAGCAUUUUGAAUGCCUUGUUGAGCCGUAAGUGGAGGAAGUGGUGAGAACUAACUGAGCAUGCUAUUGGCUGAGAUCGAUCAAGUACGAAGUAUAGACAGGCGUGGUUCGGUGAUUAAGGAUAUCACUGUGCGAAAACGACGCCUUAAAGAACGCACGUAGACUGUCUAUGAUCUAUGACGGGCGUGGUUCGGUGAUGAGGAAUAUCACUGUGCGAAAACGGCGCCUUAAAGAACGCACGUAGACCGUCUGUUACUUAUGUCACCCUGGCGAAAAUGACGCCCGAGAGCAUUGAUGGAGCUCUGUGACUAAGUGUACUAUUGGAGGUUAUGUGGGAUGGAGUGAAUGAAGUAGAAAUGAUUCGAUUGACUUGUAAUCGUCUAGUUCGAUUGAUCAAUGAUUGAGCCGAUUGUUGUGGUUUGAUUGAUUGUUCGUUGUGAUUUAUGAAGUGUCUAUAUAUAACCUUGAAUUGCAGGUUGAGACUGAGGCCAAGGUAAGUUCUCUGGCUCAUGCUGUGCUUAGGCAAUCGAGUAGUGUAUUGGUUCCCUAAUUGAGUCUUAGUGGGGUAGAACUCGCUGAGACGUAGUCUCAUCCCAGUUUGGGGAAAACAUUUCAGGACCCCGUUGAGGAGCUGAGGAGGAAGAGUCUGUGAAGAAGAAGUAUUUUUGGAAGAAGAUAAUCCCGAGGGAGAUCUUGAGUACGACCCAGGUGGACUGAAAUGUCAUCUUCUUUUGUGCCCCCAUUUUGAAGUGAAUAGAGUAAAGUAAAGAGUUGUGAAGAGUGUGGAGUACUUUGGUUUAUGUCAUGUAUAAAGGUUUGGUUGUAAAUUUCAAUAUGAAAAAUAUGGCCCUGCUUUUCUA